rnacentral:misc_RNA from 1 species
GAUGAAGAACGCAGCGAAAUGCGAUAAGUAAUGUGAAUUGCAGAAUUCAGUGAAUCAUCGAAUCUUUGAACGCACAUUGCGCCCGCCAGUAUUCUGGCGGGCAUACCUGUCCGAGCGUCAUUUCAACCAUCAAGCCCCCGGGCUUGUGUUGGGGACCUGCGGCUGCCCGCAGGCCCUGAAAACCAGUGGCGGGCUCGCUGUCACACCGAGCGUAGUAGCAAUCACCUCGCUCAGGGCGUGCUGCGGGUUCCGGCCGUUAAACAGCCUUACAAAACCCAAGGUUGACCUCGGAUCAGGUAGGAAGACCCGCUGAACUUAAGCAUAUCAAUAAGCGGAGGA